GAUGAACGCUGGCGGCGUGCCUAAUACAUGCAAGUCGAGCGAACAGACGAGGAGCUUGCUCCUCUGACGUUAGCGGCGGACGGGUGAGUAACACGUGGAUAACCUACCUAUAAGACUGGGAUAACUUCGGGAAACCGGAGCUAAUACCGGAUAAUAUAUUGAACCGCAUGGUUCAAUAGUGAAAGACGGUUUUGCUGUCACUUAUAGAUGGAUCCGCGCCGCAUUAGCUAGUUGGUAAGGUAACGGCUUACCAAGGCAACGAUGCGUAGCCGACCUGAGAGGGUGAUCGGCCACACUGGAACUGAGACACGGUCCAGACACCGACGGGAGGCAGAAGGAGGAGAUCGUACGCAAUGGGCGAAAGACUGACGGAGAAAAGCCGCGUGAGUGAUGAAGUGCUUCGGAACGUAGAACUCUGUUAAUAGGGAAGACCAAAUGUGUAAGUAACUAUGCGCGUCUUGACGGUACCUAAUCAGAGGGUCACGGCUAGCUACGUG
rnacentral:rRNA from 1 species